rnacentral:rRNA from 1 species
UAUGCGAGUCGAACGAUGAUCCCCAGCUUGCUGUGGGGGAUUAGUGGCGAACGGGUGAGUAACACGUGAGUAACCUGCCCUUGACUCUGGGAUAAGCCUGGGAAACUGGGUCUAAUACUGGAUACGACCUUCUGGCGCAUGCCAUGUGGGUGGAAAGCUUUUGUGGUUUUGGAUGGACUCGCGGCCUAUCAGCUUGUUGGUGGGGUAAUGGCCUACCAAGGCGACGACGGGUAGCCGGCCUGAGAGGGUGGACGGCCACACUGGGACUGAGACACGGCCCAGACUCCUACGGGAGGCAGCAGUGGGGAAUAUUGCACAAUGGGCGCAAGCCUGAUGCAGCGACGCCGCGUGAGGGAUGAAGGCCUUCGGGUUGUAAACCUCUUUCAGUAGGGAAGAAGCGAAAGUGACGGUACCUGCAGAAGAAGCGCCGGCUAACUACGUGCCAGCAGCCGCGGUAAUACGUAGGGCGCAAGCGUUAUCCGGAAUUAUUGGGCGUAAAGAGCUCGUAGGCGGUUUGUCGCGUCUGCCGUGAAAGUCCGGGGCUUAACUCCGGAUCUGCGGUGGGUACGGGCAGACUUGAGUGAUGUAGGGGAGACUGGAAUUCCUGGUGUAGCGGUGAAAUGCGCAGAUAUCAGGAGGAACACCGAUGGCGAAGGCAGGUCUCUGGGCAUUAACUGACGCUGAGGAGCGAAAGCAUGGGGAGCGAACAGGAUUAGAUACCCUGGUAGUCCAUGCCGUAAACGUUGGGCACUAGGUGUGGGGGACAUUCCACGUUUUCCGCGCCGUAGCUAACGCAUUAAGUGCCCCGCCUGGGGAGUACGGCCGCAAGGCUAAAACUCAAAGGAAUUGACGGGGGCCCGCACAAGCGGCGGAGCAUGCGGAUUAAUUCGAUGCAACGCGAAGAACCUUACCAAGGCUUGACAUGAACCGGGACGGCGCAGAGAUGUGUCGGCCACUUGUGGCCGGUUUACAGGUGGUGCAUGGGUUGUCGUCAGCUCGUGUCGUGAGAUGUUG